rnacentral:rRNA from 1 species
UUGGGGGAAAUUGCGAAUGGGCGAAGCCUGAUCCAGCCAUGCCGCGUGAGUGAUGAAGGCCUUCUGGUUUGAAAACUGUUUUUGUUGGGAAAAAAACCUUCCUCCUUGUACCCGGUUGACUUGACGGUACCAAUAAAGAACGCCCCGGUUAAAGCCGUGCCCCCAGCCGCUCAAAUCA